rnacentral:rRNA from 1 species
GGGGAAUUUUCCGCAAUGGGCGGAAGCCUGACGGAGCAAUGCCGCGUGAAGGAUGAAGGCCUAUGGGUUGUAAACUUCUUUUCUCAGAGAAGAAAUUUUGACGGUAUCUGGGGAAUAAGCAUCGGCUAACUCUGUGCCAGCAGCCGCGGUAAGACAGAGGAUGCAAGCGUUAUCCGGAAUGAUUGGGCGUAAAGCGUCUGUAGGUGGCUUAAAAAGUCUCCUGUCAAAGAUCAGGGCUUAACCCUGGGCCGGCAGGAGAAACUCUUAGGCUAGAGUUUGGUAGGGGCAGAGGGAAUUCCCGGUGGAGCGGUGAAAUGCGUAGAGAUCGGGAGGAACACCAAAGGCGAAAGCACUCUGCUGGGCCACAACUGACACUGAGAGACGAAAGCGAGGGGAGCAAAAGGGAUUAGAUACCCCUGUAGUC